rnacentral:rRNA from 1 species
AUACGGAGGAUCCGAGCGUUAUCCGGAUUUAUUGGGUUUAAAGGGUGCGCAGGCGGCCAUUUAAGUCAGCGGUUAAAUCGUAGGGCUCAACCCCAUUCUGCCGUUGAUACUGGGUGGCUUGAUUGCGGUCGAGGUUGGCGGAAUUUGUUGUGUAGCGGUGAAAUGCAUAGAUAUGACGAAGAACACCGAUUGCGUAGGCAGCUGACCAGACCGCAAAUGACGCUCAUGCACGAAAGUGCGGGGAUCGAACAGGAUUAGAUACCCUGGUAGUCCGCACAGUAAACGAUGAAUACUUGUUUUCGGCGAUAUAAUGUCGGAGGCAAAGCGAAAGCGAUAAGUAUUCCACCUGGGGAGUACGCCGGCAACGGUGAAACUCAAAUGAAUUGGC